UUAACUUAAUUGGGGUACUCCUAAGGCUUAGGAAGAGCCACACUCAAGGGUCCAAAAAGCCUCAUGUGGCUCGCGAGCCGCAGUUUGCCUACCACGGCCCUAGACCAACAUCACAAGACCUUUGUUGCUUAGCAAUAACUUGGGCUGGCCUCAUUCUCCUGGGGGAAGGAGGGACACAAGAGUUUCACAGCUGAUUUUGACCUUGUUGCAUGAUUAUGGGCUAGACAGCUUUGCCACAGAAGUUGUGGGUGGGGGCAGGCACUGCGGAGGCACACUACACACUAUCAUUAUGUUGUAUGAGAUUUAAAAAUAAUUUCAGUCACUUCAACAAGCUGCCAAUGAGUUGGCAUUUCCCUACAAGGUACCAGUGACCCCUAUUUAGGACCCUUGGAGGAACACACACUGCUUCCCCAAGCGUGAUCUCAUUGAUCCCACAGACAACCCUGGAGUCUGGUUUUAGAAAAAACUAGGCAGAGACAUUUAAGUGAUUUGUUCAGUGUAACAGGGCAAGAAUAAGUACCUUCAUUUCCUAACUUCUAACCAUAUUCUCGCCUGCAGUUUGAUGUGAGCAGGGAGAUGUGUCCACACGGGGUGAUUCCUCCAGCACUGGAAGAUGAACGACAUCAAUAAAUGAAUAAGAAGGUCACCCACUUAUGCCUCCAGUCUCCCUGGUGGCCUGUCUUGGCUUCCUUGUUAUCUUCAUUAGAAAUCACUUGCUUUCUUCGGUGCUUAUUACACAACAUUAUGCUGGGGGCGGGGGAUGAAUAAUUAAUUCCCAGGCUAGGCUGUCCCUUUGUCCCCAGCACUUUGCAUCCUCCCUGCCUUUCUCCUCUGGAGAUCAAACUCUUAUCCCUUUUCUUAGUGUCCUUUGAUGCAUGCCUUUAUGUCUGAAGGGAUGUGCUUGUCAGUUCCGUUCUAAGGACCAGGAAAUGACCUCAAUCCCUGCUUCUGUAAGGAUGAGGUUGGAGGGAGGCAGCCCAGCAGCCUCCCCUGCACCCCUUUGUUUGUUUACAUGUUUGCAUCAUCAGUUUUCAGCACUCAUUGUCCUAUAAGUGAAAAUAGGACCCUUAUUUUGACAGCUGGCUGUGUCUUUGAUACUGGAAGCUGUCAUUUGGAAGAGGGGGGGACGAGAGCAGAUGAGCAGCAGCUGGUCUGUGCGGCAGCCGCCCCUGAGUGCAGCUGUGGGUGUCUAGAGUGGGAUUUGGGGCAUUUGUGUCUGUUUUGUGUUUUGCCCAAUUCCCUGGGCUGGAUAUCAUUAGGCUGCAAGCACCAUGCUCUGUUUUGUUAGCUACAAGUUCCCAGAACCAGGGAAGAGGGAAGGAGAGAGAGCAAAAAGACGAGGAGAGGACAAGAAAGGAGACCAGCAGAGAGCUCUCCGAAGGUGGGUCAGAGUGAAGUGAAGGCCCUGACUUGGAGGAGAGAAAUCCCAGGAAGAAAAGGGGGAAAACGAAGUGGAAAUGGGUGCUUGGUGCAUGGAUGGACUGGUGGCUGGAGUUGAACUCUGUCUUAGUCCAUUCAGGCUGUUAGAAGAAAAUACCACAGACUAAGUGGCUCAUAAACAACAGACAGGUAUUUCUCACUGUCUGCAGGGGGGAAGGAAAGGUCAGGGUGCCAGCAUGGUUGGUUUCUGGUGAGAGCCUUCUAGGUUGCAGACAGCUGGCAUUUUGCUUUGAACUCACAUGGUGGAGGGACGGGGCAAGGAAGCUCUCUGGGUCUCCUCUUAUGAGGACACUAAUCCCAGUCAUAGGGGCCCCACCCUCAUGACCCAAGCCACCUAAAGAUCUUGCCUCCUAGAAACAUCACAUUGGGGGUUAGGGUCUCAACGUCAGAGUCUAUUGCCCAGAAAUUUCUAUUGGGGACCCUGGCUGAGAAUAUGGCUCACUCAUUCAACAUCUCCACUGAGCUCCUCCCUGGAUGGAGAAGACAGUGUCCUGGGCACCAGGAACACAGCAGUAAGACAGAUAUGGCCUUGCUCUCCUGGAAGAAAACAUUCUAUGAAGAGUGUUAUUCAGUAGUAAGAGUUAGGAUUGGUUGCAAAAUUUAGCAUUUAUUACGAGUCCCAGAACCCACCUCUGAGCUAGUGACUUCAUUCUCAACCCGAUUAUUAAUGUUUUGCCUUCACCAUAUUUGACUCAGGAACAAGAUGGGACUGUGUUUGUGGGCAGAAGAGCAUCUCUGGACACAGCUGAGAAAACUGGCAAGAAGCCUCAAGCAGGGGACAACGAUAUGCAGUGGGGAAGAGGAAAGGAGAGAGUUUGAAGGAGACAAUUUGGGGAACCUUGAAGUUGGAGAAGGACUUCAACAAAGCGAGAUGCAGAGAGCUUCCCAGGAGGAGAAAACUCAGGUAUUAUCAUGGCCACAUGAGACCAAGAGAAAAUGAGAAAAUGGGAGAAAAUAUCUCCAAGGUAAAUAGCUAAUGUUGUUCAGGAAUAGGAGGGAGGGAUCAUUUUAUGGAAAUGAAGGUUCCCAGGAGUCCCCAAGCACCCAUAAAUUGUACUGAGACACAAUUCAUGUUGCCACUAGGUAGAGCCAUGCCUUUGUCCUCCGGGUCUGUUGUCAUGGGCGACCAAUCCCGGAGAGAAAACUAGCUUUG